GGCGUGCUUAACACAUGCAAGUCGAACGAUGAACCAGGGCUUGCCCUGGGGAUUAGUGGCGAACGGGUGAGUAACACGUGGGCAACCUGCCCCAGACACCGGGAAAACCAUUCGAAAGAGCGGCUAAUACCGGAUACUACCACUUGGGGCAUCCAACGGAGUGGGACAGGAUUCUGGUCUGGGAUGGGCCCGCGGCCUAGCAGCUUGUUGGUGGGGUAAUGGCCUACCAAGGCGACGACGGGUAGCCGGCCUGAGAGGGCAACCGGCCACACGGGGACUGAGACACGGCCCAGACUCCUACGGGAGGCAGCAGUGGGGAAUAUGGCGCAAUGGGCGAAAGCCUGACGCAGCGACGCCGCGUGAGGAACGAAGGUCUUCGGAUUGUAAACCUCUUUCAGCAGGGACGAAGCGAAAGUGACUGUACCUGCAGAAGAAGCACCGGCUAACUACGUGCCAGCCGCCGCAGUAAGAC
rnacentral:rRNA from 1 species